rnacentral:rRNA from 1 species
UACGGAGGUGGCGAGCGUUGUCCGAAGUUACUGGGCGUAAAGCGCGCGUAGGCGGGGGAUUAAGUGAGAAGUGAAAGGCUGGGGCUCAAACUCCAUGCAGUGCUUCUCAUACUGGUCUUCUUGAGGGGGGUAGAGAGAAGUGGAAGUGGCUGGUGUAAGCGGUGAAAUGCGUAGAUAUCGGGAGGAACAUCGAUGGCGAAGGCAAUCACCUGGGCCUGAACUGACACU